CGCGGCUGGAUCCCCUCCUUUCAAGGAUGUCCCUCAGAUCUUCGCUCACACGGGAUCUAUCGGACGUACCUUACAUCACGGCUCGGCGCCGUCUUCGCAUCCCUUCCUCGAACAGUAACCGAAACUCGGGCUCGUAGCUCAGCUGGUCAGAGCACACGCUUGAUAAGCGUGGGGUCGUAAGUUCAAAUCUUACCGGGCCCACCAUCCGAUCCGUCUGAUGCGCCUUCCGAGCCAUAUCCCAGAUACGGGGCCAUAGCUCAGUUGGGAGAGCGCGUGCUUUGCAAGCAUGAGGUCGUCGGUUCGAUCC
rnacentral:tRNA from 1 species